AGAGUUUGAUCAUGGCUCAGAGCGAACGCUGGCGGCAGGCUUAACACAUGCAAGUCGAGCGGGCGUAGCAAUACGUCAGCGGCAGACGGGUGAGUAACGCGUGGGAACGUACCUUUGGUUCGGAACAACACAGGGAAACUUGUGCUAAUACCGGAUAAGCCCUUACGGGGAAAGAUUUAUCGCCGAAAGAUCGGCCCGCGUCUGAUUAGCUAGUUGGUAGGGUAAUGGCCUACCAAGGCGACGAUCAGUAGCUGGUCUGAGAGGAUGAUCAGCCACAUUGGGACUGAGACACGGCCCAAACUCCUACGGGAGGCAGCAGUGGGGAAUAUUGGACAAUGGGGGCAACCCUGAUCCAGCCAUGCCGCGUGAGUGAUGAAGGCCCUAGGGUUGUAAAGCUCUUUUGUGCGGGAAGCUAAUGACGGUACCGCAAGAAUAAGCCCCGGCUAACUUCGUG
rnacentral:rRNA from 1 species